GAUGAACGCUGGCGGCGUGCCUAAUACAUGCAAGUCGAGCGAACGGACGAGAAGCUUGCUUCUCUGAUGUUAGCGGCGGACGGGUGAGUAACACGUGGAUAACCUACCUAUAAGACUGGGAUAACUUCGGGAAACCGGAGCUAAUACCGGAUGAUAUUUUGAACCGCAUGGUUCAAAAGUGAAAGACGGUCUUGCUGUCACUUAUAGAUGGAUCCGCGCUGCAUUAGCUAGUUGGUAAGGUAACGGCUUACCAAGGCAACGAUGCAUAGCCGACCUGAGAGGGUGAUCGGCCACACUGGAACUGAGACACGGUCCAGACUCCUACGGGAGGCAGCAGUAGGGAAUCUUCCGCAAUGGGCGAAAGCCUGACGGAGCAACGCCGCGUGAGUGAUGAAGGUCUUCGGAUCGUAAAACUCUGUUAUUAGGGAAGAACAGAUGUGUAAGUAACUGUGCACAUCUUGACGGUACCUAAUCAGAAAGCCACGGCUAACUACGUG
rnacentral:rRNA from 1 species